UACGAAGGGGGCUAGCGUUGCUCGGAAUGACUGGGCGUAAAGGGCGCGUAGGCGGAUGGCACAGUCAGAUGUGAAAUUCCUGGGCUUAACCUGGGGGCUGCAUUUGAUACGUGUUGUCUUGAGUGAGGAAGAGGGUCGUGGAAUUCCCAGUGUAGAGGUGAAAUUCGUAGAUAUUGGGAAGAACACCGGUGGCGAAGGCGGCGACCUGGUCCUUAACUGACGCUGAGGCGCGAAAGCGUGGGGGAGCGAACAGG
rnacentral:rRNA from 1 species